rnacentral:tRNA from 1 species
UCCCUGGUGGUUUAGUGGUUAAGACUUGGCGUUUUCACUGCUGUGGCCCAGGUUUGAUCCCUGUUCUGGGAA